GCCUGGCUAGCUCAGUCGGUAGAGCAUGAAACUCUUAAUCUCAAGGUCGUGGGUUCGUGCCCCACUUUGGGCG
rnacentral:tRNA from 1 species